AGUGAGUGUGGGAAGAGGGAGGAGGAUCAAUGUAUUUGUGUCAUUCUUAGUCGUCUUUUCAGUUUUAGUUUUAACUCGGUUUCUUUAUUAUUAUCCAUUGCCGAAUACCAAUUUCUAUAACUAACUUUUACUUGGGUGGGCUUGGACCUCGAUAAACUGUCGCUAAGGAAUUUUAUUGUGUUGGUUUGGUACAUCACUUGUAUUUUGUGUAACUCACAUCAUCGGUAUAGGGUAGGGGGCCUACUUCAACUUUUGGGCCCUAACUUAAAAGAUUCAAAAUGUUGGCUUCACCUUCUUUAUUAAUUGAUUGCUUUUAAGGUCUCAUAAUCCAAAGUUAUGUUAUUCAAAGGGUUAAACUUGGUGUGGUUUGAUAUUUUAUUGUGUGAACCAAUGUUUUAUUUCUUCAUUUACCCCUGCAAUGGCAAAUACUUAUAGUAGAGAUAUUUUGAAAGUGGUAGUGGCUCAGAUAUGUCAAACUAUUGGAUGGCAUACAAUAUGCACUACUCCACUAGAUGUGUUAACUGAUGUGCUAAGAAGAUUUAUUCAUGAACUAGGCACAAGUGCUCAUCGGUAUGGCGAGCAGUUUGGACACACAUCUCCGACUGUAACUGACGUGACUUUGGCAUUCAAGGACUUGGGUAUAAACAUAUCUGAACUAGAAGAGUAUGUGGAGUAUGUGGCAUCAGUACCAUGUGCCGUCAGUGUGCCCAAGUUCCCCUUGGAACGGGAAUCUCAUCUCAACCUUCUCAAACCAGGUUCUCGAGAGGUCGUCACUCGACCGGUUCAUAUCCAUGAACAUUUGCCUGCAAUGCAUCCACAGUUGGAAGAGGAAGAAUACCUAAAACAGUUGCCCUUGUCUGUGGAUAUAUCAGGUGCGGAAUCUGGGACUUCUCCGUUGUCAAGUCCCAAAAACAGUAUUUUUAAGAGACCAGGUGAUCCUGUAUCUAUUGAGAAUAAUCUGCUUAAGAGAGCCAGAAUGAUGUUGGAAGAGGAGGGAAGGCCUUUGAGAGAAAUCAGUUCUGUAAUGAUGACGACCUCGGGUUUCCUGUCCCCGGCCCGCGAAGGGAAACUGCCUGAGGCUCGAACACCAACUCAGUCCUCUGACUCAAGAUCCAGCUCUCCCCAACCCCUCUCCUAUCCCACCGUACCUCCUGAGGUUAAAGGAGAAAAGAAAGUGAAGAAAUAUGCCAAUAAACCAGCAGCAGAAGGAAUUAGAAAGAUGGCAGAGAAAGAAAUGUCUCAAAAACUCCCUGAAUUUUCUACUUCAGCUCAAGCUGCCGAAGACGAUGAUACAAAUGUCAAAAAGUUAGUGAGUAUGAAAGAAAUGUAUAAACUCAAAGCUCUAAAGCCUAAAAUGCAUUCACCAAAUAACAGCGUCUCAAGCACAUCUGGCAAUAAAAAUAAAUCUAAUAAGCAUAAAGGUGCGGGAGGAAUAAGCGCGGCAAUAUCAUCAUUGCCAAAAAUUCCUAAGAUAGGUCAGAAUAAAAAUAAGUGUGAUAAGACAUCUGCCAAUUCACAGAGCAAUAAAUCUUCGACAAGUGAAAAAUCAAAAGAAGUCUGUGUAAUAGAAGGCAAGUUGUCAUCUGAACCGGAUAAACAAAAGUUGAAUAUUUUUAAGAAGAUUUCAAAAGUGAAGGAAGAUAAGGUGGAGGUAGACUCUACAAAAAAUAGUGAAUCCCCUUCUUCAACUGUAGUGGAAACAGACACUAAACAGAGAGAUGUGAGAUGGGCUCAGAUCAGUGAAACUAUUGAGGCAGUGAUUCAGAAAAGUCGAGAACAGCCAGCUCCCUCGCCAGAGGUUGAUGUAGAGUCUUCUGACUCUGAACUGUUCCCAUACGAUGACGAUCUGUCCCCACCAGGUACACCUUCCACUCCUCGUACCCCCGAUCUGAUCCCUCCUCAGAAGAAAUCAGAAAAACACAUGGAUUCAAAGAAGAAAAAGAAAGGAAAAAGAGAUAAAGACAAACGGGAUAGUAGUUACUGUCGUAGCCCCAGUCCCAAAAGGUUUAAGUCUGAAAGCACUGAAUCGGAUUACUCUUUUCUUGAUAAACCCAAAACUCCUGAAGUGGAAUCCAGUAGAGAGGAACCGGCUGUUUGCAUGCUUCCUCGAAACAGGGAGGAUAUUAUGACUAACCAUGUCUUCCCCUUCUUCCCCUACGCUCCACAACCGGGUUUGAUACCAACACCCAUCAACCCAUCGAUAUUUAACAGGUUGAACAUGCCUCUGGGGAAGCAGCCUGGACUGAUUCCCCAUCCUGCAAUGCCUAACCUUCCCCUCCCUCCACCACUGAUAACUCAUGCUAACAAGCACGAAGACAAGGAACCUCCAGUCAAGUCUAAGAAGCAGUCAUCAUUAUCUCCUGCCCCUCACAGCUCUCCCUCCUCCCCUGUCACAGUGUCCACUAUCACAGCCUCAGACACCACUGACUCACCCCCUGCGGUCACAUCCACUACUUCUACACCUAAAGAAAAAGACAAGAAAAAGGAACAUAAGAAAGAAAAGAAGGAAAAAAUUAAGAAGAAGAAGGAUAAAAAAGAUAAGGUGAAAAAUAAAGAAAAGGGUGAGAAGAAGAAGAUUAAAAGUGGCAAGAAGAUAAAGGACAAAGAAAAAAUUAAGGAGAAAAAAGAAAAGAAAGAAAAGAAGAAGGAUAAAGAACGUGAAGAGAAGGAGAAGGUGGUUGAGACCACUACGGCAGUUCCAAAGCUGACGCUGAAACUUGGACCUGCUUCUCCGCCUUCCAAUUCUGAUGCUGGCACCACUCAUCGUAAGAUUGUGAUCAAACCAGUCGUGGAGCCGAAGGUUGAAGAGAAGCGCUCACCGAGCCCUGAGCUUGCACGCAUCUCAGCACUAGUCACUAGGCCCAGUCCUGCCAACAGUAAGCCGACACUUCCCACCUCUCUUGCUCUGUCUGUCCAACCAGUGGCUGAACCUUCCCACACAUUCCCUCACCCUUCCCUCAAGAAGCCCCCACUCAAAACUAAAGAAGUCCCUAAGAAAGUGACCUCGGGCGAACCUGAGAAAAAGGAGCCUGUCGCUUUCUACUUUGACAAAGAAGGCAACCAAGUAUGGAUAUGCCCGGCUUGCGGAGGACAGGAUGACGGAAGUCCUAUGAUAGGAUGUGAUGGCUGUGAUGCGUGGUACCAUUGGGUGUGUGUUGGUAUCCAGGUUCCUCCAGACUCUAAUGACUGGUUUUGUCGAGUCUGUAUCGCUAAGAGACAAGAUGGUGUUGGUGGUGAGAAGAAAAAGAAAACAGAAAGGCGGAAGAAAAAGGCAGGAGCCACAUAAACUAAGGUUAGGCAAAACCAAAUAUCUCUUGGACUAUGGAUAUCCUUAUGGAUCAGUCAGUGCCAAUUUUGAGUUACUCCACCGAGUCCAAGGCGGACAAAGAGUUAGAAGAAUCAUCUCUGUCCCAAGCAUCAACACAUAUUUAUAUCGACCAAAAGUGUAUAUAAUUUAAAAUUUUUCAGAAUACUUACCAAAAGUGGAUGGAAUAUGUUAACAUUUAUAAUUUAUAAUUUGUGUAAAGUAUAUAUUUUUUUAUAUUUUUAAAUGUGUAUAGAAGUUUUAAAAUGUUGCAUGUAUUUAUAUCUUGCAUUCUUUGUUGUUGUUUGGAAGAAUAUUUAUGUUAUUGAUAGAAACUUGUAAUUUAAAACUUCACGCUUAUAUGUGAUGUGAAAAGAAAGGGGACCUUGUAAGGAAAGGUUUAAUUUUGGCAAAGGAGAUAUUUUACUUGUGGUUAACACUGUGGAUUGUGGGGAAAAGUGCAAAUGUAUUGUUAUUAUUAUUACCAAUUGAGAUCUUUUACCCAAACUCAAGUGUAGGAUGAGUGGAGUAGAGAAUGAUGUGGGAUGCCUUGUGUACCUUGGUUAUUGACUAAGAUCAGCUGUUUCAUAAGCCAGGACCAUUUUUAUUAAAAGCCCAAUGAUCAAGGACCGCUGGGUCUAGUUUCUAACCAUAAAAAAGUUGCUGACUUUUCUUAGGACCAAAUUGACGACCUUUCAUCAAACUCGCAUUCAUGAAUUCCAUGUGAUAUGAUCGUUAAAGUGUAAUCUGAGAAGUAAUAUUUUAUCACAUAUUUUUAUUUUUCUGAAUGAUUUUAAUUCAUCGACACAAUUGUUAAGUAUAUCUAAAAUAAUAUUGAGUGAGAUUGAGUUUGAAUGUGUUCAAAUAAAAUGCACAAACCCCUCAAUUUAAUAUGUUUUCCACAAUGUUUAUGUCUUUAGAUGUAUAGAUUUGUUUCGGCUGGGACACAACAUUAUCUUUUUAUGAGUCAUAUUUCAGUUUUAACAAUUUUUACCAAGGGGUUAAAAACUUGCUUUCUAACAUCACCGAUUCGUGAACAAAUAGAUGGACAGAUGUUUACUGUAUUGUUUCCAUUUCCUUGCUAGGUUAAGUGAUUGUAAAUAUUUUAUGUAUGGAUGUCCUACUACACAGGACAGUAUUUCACUGUGCAGAUGUCAGUAAUUUUCAAAAGAUAAGCCUGACUUAAAAAAUAAUUCAUUUUUUAACUAAUUCAAAUGUAAUUAGAAUAGUCUGUUAAAAAUGCAAAAUUUCUGGUAAGAUAUCCAUUAGAAUAUUCCCCUAAAAUUGUCAGAUUUAUUUUUUAUUUAAAUAACAUUGAUUUUAAGGUAGGUACUAAGGGAGUACUUAGGUUUGCUGCUACGGGGUGGUGCUAUGAGGUGUGUUUUUAUUGAAAGGUUGAUAGCUAAUUAAAUAAACAAAACUGCCAAAUUUGAUUAAAAUAUUUCCAUAAACAAGCAAACAAUAACAGUUUAUUUAUUCUCCAUAAGAAUAGCAAAAGAUAAUUCCCAAAGUUGUCAGAUUGGUCUGUUUAACUCAAUAUUAUAUCGGUUACGACUAGUUGUUUAUCUAGUUCAAAUUAGUGAAUUACAAUUGUCAUCACUUCAUAAUGAAUUAUUGCAAAACUUGAUAAAUUUAACACAAUUUCUUAGUAGUAGAGUAAAAAUGCCUCCUGGAUAUUUAUACCGCCUCAUUAAAUUUGGCUUUAAAGAUUUAAAAUGGCUUGAGUUAUUGGAGCAAAAUUUUUUAAGCUCUUUUUACCUUCUAAACAGCACAUUUAUACCAAUUGUGAAAUUACUAUCUUAAAAAGGCCUGAGAUAUAAAAUAGUUUUAAAAAACAACAAGCAAACUGACAGAAAUCCAGGCAUUUUAGACCCAUACUUAUUUGACAUUUUAUGUUUGUCUUAGCCCAAGGAACACAAAAUAUUUCCUGACAAUUUGGAAACACCCUGUAUAAGCCAGAAAAAUAUGUCCUCAACUCCCAAUUUAUUUUUAUUUUUCCCUUAGGGAUGAAAAUAAUUAUUUUAGCCCCUCAAUGCAUGUAUUAAAUAAAAAAUAAUAAAAACAAAAAACACUAAUAUAGCAGACCCCCUCUUAUUGGAUGUCCCCUUGAGUAUGACUAGCUCUCCCAUGUAUUUGUUCCCUAACAAGUCAAAACUUAACCUUCUAUCGCUCUAAUUAGUUGUUGGUGUAUUUCUUUUUUGUUUUAACUAAUUUGCACACUGGUUUUGAAACGUAUACUUUCAUUUUUAUCAACCUGUGUUGAUUCUGAUAUUUUCAAGUUCGACUAGACUUUGCUCUCAGUGUGAAUGAGAGAGAGUCUACUGUACUUGUCAAUGUACCGUCACUACUGGUUUGGUAAACAUUCCCUUUUCUCAAACAUGUUUUACUGACAAAACUAGGGUUUACAUGUGUAAAUAUAAGCCCCCAUAAACAUUUCAUUAAUUAAAUCAAAAAUAACUUUGGAUGUAAACAGUAACGCUUGCUUGGGAAGAAAACAUUCUUAAAAAAAACUGGAAUAUAGUUUGGUGACAAAACAAAACUUUUGUUCUCUGUCAAAUGGAUUAACCUUGAGAGUUAUUUUAAAUACAUGUAUGUCUUGAAUGUUGUCUUGUGUUGUGUGUAUUAAGGGUUUAAUUGGAAAAGUAAAUAUUUAAACUGAAAUUAACUUAAUAUAAGUAGAAUAAAUUGCUUUUACAGUAGAACUCUAACUAUCCGAAUCACCGAUUAUCCGAAUUGCAUACAAAAAAAUUAAAACCACAGUACAUAAUAAGAAUUGUUAUUAAAGGAGGCAGGAGCCGUGAUCGCGUCAAAAUCCAAAACCUAUCUCACGAUUUUGUUGAUACCAUCAUCGUCUCCUGCGGUCACGGAAACAUCGUCAUAGUUUUUCGCGAUCGUGGAGAACUUAUAAAUAUAUACAACGGUUCUGUUCACACCACCAUCGUCUCCCACGGUCACGGAAAAUAAUAAUCCUACAUUGCAAUCGCGGCGAAAGCAUAAAUUUUCCUAUCGCAAAAUCGUCUCAGACGCGUUCUGUGAUUGCAAUAGUAAAAGCUCGGCCUAUUUCUUUAAGACUCUGAAUUUCGGUAAAAAUCCAAUCAUCCAGAUGGGGUCCGGUCCCAAUUGAUUCGGAUAAUUGGAAUUCUACUGUAGUAACAAUUAUGGAUAACCAGGUGUGUAACACUAAAAGUUAUGUAAACAUGUGUUUCCAAAGCAAAGUUUUCAAGUAUCAGUCACACAUUGUAACAAAACAAAACAACAAAACAUAACAUUUUGUAAAUUGUAAUCUGAUAGCAUUAAAAUCUGGUUUUCUUGCUUGAAGAGGUACACAUACAGAUAAUACUAACAUUGUUGUAGUGUUAUAUAAAUAUGUACAAAGUGGUUAGUGUUAGAGGUUGUGAUGUGAUGUCACAUUACCUAGCUUAAUUUUGAUACUUGUCAAUGCAUAGCAACUUUUAAAGUCAUACAUGAGUGAGCCUGUUUUAUUUCCUUGAUGGUACUGUUCUAUUUUGACACUAGUAUUGUAUUUAACUACCUCUAAAACUAUAUUGCCAUACAUGUAAAAUAAUUAUUAUCAUAUACACAUUAAAGUUUUAGAAUGUGGAACUUGC